GACGGAGGAUGCAAGCGUUAUCCGGAAUUAUUGGGCGUAAAGCGUCCGUAGGCGGCUUAUCAAGUCUGGGGUCAAAGACCACAGCUUAACUGUGGAAAGGCCUUGGAAACUGGUGAGCUAGAGUGAGGUAGGGGUUGCUGGAAUUCCCGGUGUAGCGGUGAAAUGCGUAGAUAUCGGGAAGAACACCUGAGACGAAAGCGCGCGACUGGGCCUUUACUGACACUGAGGGACAAAAGCUAGGGGAGCGAAUGGG
rnacentral:rRNA from 1 species